GACCGGGUGACGGAGUGGCUACGUGUCGGUCUGCAAAACCGAUUACAGGGGUUCGAAUCCCCUCCCGGUCU
rnacentral:tRNA from 1 species